UUGUGCGUGCGACAGCGACUUC
rnacentral:miRNA from 2 species